GCCUUUGUGGCCGAGUAGUAAGGCGUCGCUCUGUCGGUGCUGUUCUUCUUUUGCCAUCUUCCCCCCUAACUUUCUCAAUCUCGCUAGCCGGUGUUCGGAUAUCAAGGCGAAGAUCAUGGGUUCAAAUCCCUUCAAAGGCC
rnacentral:tRNA from 1 species